rnacentral:rRNA from 1 species
AGAGUUUGAUCCUGGCUCAGGACGAACGCUGGCGGCGUGCUUAACACAUGCAAGUCGAACGGAAAGGCCCUGCUUUUGUGGGGUGCUCGAGUGGCGAACGGGUGAGUAACACGUGAGUAACCUGCCCUUGACUUUGGGAUAACUUCAGGAAACUGGGGCUAAUACCGGAUAGGAGCUCCUGCUGCAUGGUGGGGGUUGGAAAGUUUCGGCGGUUGGGGAUGGACUCGCGGCUUAUCAGCUUGUUGGUGGGGUAGUGGCUUACCAAGGCUUUGACGGGUAGCCGGCCUGAGAGGGUGACCGGCCACAUUGGGACUGAGAUACGGCCCAGACUCCUACGGGAGGCAGCAGUGGGGAAUAUUGCACAAUGGGCGGAAGCCUGAUGCAGCAACGCCGCGUGCGGGAUGACGGCCUUCGGGUUGUAAACCGCUUUCGCCUGUGACGAAGCGUGAGUGACGGUAAUGGGUAAAGAAGCACCGGCUAACUACGUGCCAGCAGCCGCGGUGAUACGUAGGGUGCGAGCGUUGUCCGGAUUUAUUGGGCGUAAAGGGCUCGUAGUGGUUGAUCGCGUCGGAAGUGUAAUCUUGGGGCUUAACCCUGAGCGUGCUUUCGAUACGGGUUGACUUGAGGAAAGGUAGGGGAGAAUGGAAAUUCCUGGUGGAGCGGUGGAAUGCGCAGAUAUCAGAGGAACACCAGUGGCGAAGGCGGUUCUCUGGGCCUUUCCUGACGCUGAGGAGCGAAAGCGUGGGGAGCGAACAGGCUUAGAUACCCUGGUAGUCCACGCUGUAAACGGUGGGUACUAGGUGUGAGGUCCAUUCCACGGGU